rnacentral:rRNA from 1 species
UCCAGACUCCUACGGGAGGCAGCAGUGGGGAAUAUUGCACAAUGGGGGAAACCCUGAUGCAGCGACGCCGCGUGAGUGAAGAAGUCAUUCGUGAUGUAAAGCUCUAUCAGCAGGGAAGAAAAUGACGGUACCUGACCAAGAAGCCCCGGCUAACUACGUGCCAGCAGCCGCGGUAAUACGUAGGGGGCAAGCGUUAUCCGGAUUUACUGGGUGUAAAGGGAGCGUAGACGGUUGCGCAAGUCUGGAGUGAAAGGCGGGGGCCCAACCCCCGGACUGCUCUGGAAACUGUAGAACUAGAGUGCAGGAGGGGUAAGUGGAAUUCCUAGUGUAGCGGUGAAAUGCGUAGAUAUUAGGAGGAACACCAGUGGCGAAGGCGGCUUACUGGACGGUAACUGACGCUGAGGCUCGAAAGCGUGGGGAGCAAACAGGAUUAGAUACCCUUGUA